GUUACAGCUAGUAUUUAGCCCAAAUGAAGAAAUCACUAAAAUUUAUGAGAAGACCAAUGCAGGCAAUGAGCCAGACUUGGAAGACGAACAGGUUUGCUGUGAAGCAUUGGAAGUGAUGACCUUAUGUUUUGCCUUGAUUCCAACAGCCUUAGAUGCUCUUAGUAAAGAAAAGGCUUGGCAGACAUUCAUCAUUGACUUACUAUUGCACUGUCACAGCAAGUAAGUAUCUUUUUUAAUUGUAAGAAACUUACUUUUUGUAAAUGGAGUGAAUUAAUUUAGGCUGGCAAAAUGUGUCCCCAAAAUUAAAUAUUUAUUGUCUCUAUGGCAUAUUGGUAUUGAGGAAAAUUUUAUUAUUUAAGAGUGUUUUGCUUAACCUAAAUGUUUGGUUUUAGUCUCUGCAAAUGCCAAUAUUAAUUGUCAAAGCAUGAUUUUUUUCUAAUCUUAGAAUUUAGUUUUACCUAGGAGGUAUAUAGAUUAGCCUAUUUCUAAAAAUCUAGUUUGCAAGAUUUAAAUCAUAUAGGACAUUAGCCUCCUAUCUUAGAUUCCUAGAUGCUAGGUUUUUUUAAAGCCAAACAGAAUUUGAUAUGAAAUUUGUAAGACAGGGUCAUUGUAAGAACUUUUGCAGUUUACACUGAUAAUAAAGAUCAGUUAUAAAGCUCAUGUUU
rnacentral:sRNA from 1 species